AAACUUACCUGGCUGGGGGCGUCUCGCGAUCACUAAGGAGGGACCCCCAUGGUGAGGCCCGCGCAUUGCACUUUCGCCCGGGCUGGCCCGUGUGGCAGUCUCGAACUGAGAUUCGCCAACAGCUAAAUUUUUGUGUGUGGGGCUGCGUACGCGCGGCCCUGA
rfam:Ancylostoma duodenale strain Zhejiang A_duodenale-1.0_Cont15.2, whole genome shotgun sequence.